UUAAGUUAUUAAGGGCGCACGGUGGAUGCCUUGGCACUAGAAGCCGAUGAAGGACGUUACUAACGACGAUAUGCUUUGGGGAGCUGUAAGUAAGCGUUGAUCCAGAGAUUUCCGAAUGGGGAAACCCAGCAUGAGUUAUGUCAUGUUAUCGAUAUGUGAAUACAUAGCAUAUCAGAAGGCAGACCCGGAGAACUGAAACAUCUUAGUACCCGGAGGAAGAGAAAGAAAAAUCGAUUCCCUGAGUAGCGGCGAGCGAAACGGGAAGAGCCCAAACCAACAAGCUUGCUUGUUGGGGUUGUAGGACACUCUAUACGGAGUUACAAAAGUAUAUAUUAGACGAAUCAUCUGGAAAGUUGAAUCAAAGAAGGUAAUAAUCCUGUAGUCGAAAAUAUAUACUCUCUUGAGUGGAUCCUGAGUACGACGGAGCACGUGAAAUUCCGUCGGAAUCUGGGAGGACCAUCUCCUAAGGCUAAAUACUCUCUAGUGACCGAUAGUGAACCAGUACCGUGAGGGAAAGGUGAAAAGUACCCCGGAAGGGGAGUGAAAGAGAACUUGAAACCGUGUGCUUACAAGUAGUCAGAGCCCGUUAAUGGGUGAUGGCGUGCCUUUUGUAGAAUGAACCGGCGAGUUACGAUUUGAUGCAAGGUUAAGCAGCUAAUGUGGAGCCGUAGCGAAAGCGAGUCUGAAUAGGGCGUUUAGUAUUUGGUCGUAGACCCGAAACCAGGUGAUCUACCCUUGGUCAGGUUGAAGUUCAGGUAACACUGAAUGGAGGACCGAACCGACUUACGUUGAAAAGUGAGCGGAUGAACUGAGGGUAGCGGAGAAAUUCCAAUCGAACUUGGAGAUAGCUGGUUCUCUCCGAAAUAGCUUUAGGGCUAGCCUCAAGUGAUGAUUAUUGGAGGUAGAGCACUGUUUGGACGAGGGGCCCUUCUCGGGUUACCGAAUUCAGACAAACUCCGAAUGCCAAUCAAUUUAACUUGGGAGUCAGAACAUGGGUGAUAAGGUCCGUGUUCGAAAGGGAAACAGCCCAGACCACCAGCUAAGGUCCCAAAAUAUAUGUUAAGUGGAAAAGGAUGUGGCGUUGCCCAGACAACUAGGAUGUUGGCUUAGAAGCAGCCAUCAUUUAAAGAGUGCGUAAUAGCUCACUAGUCGAGUGACACUGCGCCGAAAAUGUACCGGGGCUAAACAUAUUACCGAAGCUGUGGAUUGUCCGUAGGACAAUGGUAGGAGAGCGUUCUAAGGGCGUCGAAGCAUGAUCGCAAGGACAUGUGGAGCGCUUAGAAGUGAGAAUGCCGGUGUGAGUAGCGAAAGACGGGUGAGAAUCCCGUCCACCGAUUGACUAAGGUUUCCAGAGGAAGGCUCGUCCGCUCUGGGUUAGUCGGGUCCUAAGCUGAGGCCGACAGGCGUAGGCGAUGGAUAACAGGUUGAUAUUCCUGUACCACCUAGUAUCGUUUUAAUCGAUGGGGGGACGCAGUAGGAUAGGCGAAGCGUGCUAUUGGAUUGCACGUCCAAGCAGUAAGACUGAGUGUUAGGCAAAUCCGGCACUCAUAAGGUCAAGCUGUGAUGGGGAGAGGAAAUUGUUUCCUCGAGUCGUUGAUUUCACACUGCCAAGAAAAGCCUCUAGAUAGAUAACAGGUGCCCGUACCGCAAACCGACACAGGUAGUCAAGAUGAGAAUUCUAAGGUGAGCGAGCGAACUCUCGUUAAGGAACUCGGCAAAAUGACCCCGUAACUUCGGGAGAAGGGGUGCUCUUUAGGGUUAACGCCCAGAAGAGCCGCAGUGAAUAGGCCCAAGCGACUGUUUAUCAAAAACACAGGUCUCUGCUAAACCGUAAGGUGAUGUAUAGGGGCUGACGCCUGCCCGGUGCUGGAAGGUUAAGAGGAGUAGUUAGCUUCUGCGAAGCUACGAAUCGAAGCCCCAGUAAACGGCGGCCGUAACUAUAACGGUCCUAAGGUAGCGAAAUUCCUUGUCGGGUAAGUUCCGACCCGCACGAAAGGCGUAACGAUUUGGGCACUGUCUCAACGAGAGACUCGGUGAAAUCAUAGUACCUGUGAAGAUGCAGGUUACCCGCGACAGGACGGAAAGACCCCGUGGAGCUUUACUGUAGCCUGAUAUUGAAAUUCGGCACAGCUUGUACAGGAUAGGUAGGAGCCUUUGAAACGUGAGCGCUAGCUUACGUGGAGGCAUUGGUGGGAUACUACCCUAGCUGUGUUGGCUUUCUAACCCGCACCACUUAUCGUGGUGGGAGACAGUGUCAGGUGGGCAGUUUGACUGGGGCGGUCGCCUCCUAAAAGGUAACGGAGGCGCUCAAAGGUUCCCUCAGAAUGGUUGGAAAUCAUUCAUAGAGUGUAAAGGCAUAAGGGAGCUUGACUGCGAGACUUACAAGUCGAGCAGGGUCGAAAGACGGACUUAGUGAUCCGGUGGUUCCGCAUGGAAGGGCCAUCGCUCAACGGAUAAAAGCUACCCCGGGGAUAACAGGCUUAUCUCCCCCAAGAGUUCACAUCGACGGGGAGGUUUGGCACCUCGAUGUCGGCUCAUCGCAUCCUGGGGCUGUAGUCGGUCCCAAGGGUUGGGCUGUUCGCCCAUUAAAGCGGUACGCGAGCUGGGUUCAGAACGUCGUGAGACAGUUCGGUCCCUAUCCGUCGUGGGCGUAGGAAAUUUGAGAGGAGCUGUCCUUAGUACGAGAGGACCGGGAUGGACAUACCUCUGGUGUACCAGUUGUCGUGCCAACGGCAUAGCUGGGUAGCUAUGUAUGGACGGGAUAAGUGCUGAAAGCAUCUAAGCAUGAAGCCCCCCUCAAGAUGAGAUUUCCCAACUUCGGUUAUAAGAUCCCUCAAAGAUGAUGAGGUUAAUAGGUUCGAGGUGGAAGCGUGGUGACACGUGGAGCUGACGAAUACUAAUCGAUCGAAGACUUAAUCAA
rnacentral:rRNA from 6 species